rnacentral:lncRNA from 1 species
CCCGGAACUGAUCAUCUACUUUUCUUUUAACUGUCCGAAACCCCCUCCCUAACCCUAGAAACCCCCUCACUCUUUAUCUCUCUCACUCUCUGCCUCGCCGCCCCCAGAAUCGUGCAACAACGGCGGUCAACCUCCAAACUCCCCCAAAUUAUCACCUUAUAGCCUCCAACAUCGCUUUAAUCCAAAUCCACCAUCAAUUCUCCCAAAAGCGCCACCAAAUUCAAUAAAUUUUUUAUCUGAAGUCUCAGGAAUCCUUUCUUCCGUUGCUUGAUCGAUUCGUCUAGUUCACACUCAAAACUUACAUCAAUGGAAUGCUUUUAACAAGAGCUAUCAAUUGAUGUAAGGUUUAGUCCGAUUAUUGAUGGCCGAGUUUUGGUCAACUGGUUGUUGACCGGCCAGAGUCUUCCGGAAAUCUUUUAUAUCGCUUCCUUUGAGCUUAAUUAGGUAAUCCCCACUCCUUGACUUUUUGAUUAAUAAUUCCUCUUCUUUUACACUGAACUUUUUAGUUGUUCUUUCAUAUGUUUAUCAUGUUAGGACUUAAUCACCAUUAACUCUGUAUUUGCAUGAUUUAGAGUAGUGUUUAAUUGUAAGUUUAAAUUAGUUCAUUAGUAUUUUUUUUAAGUUCAACUGAUUUUUGUUUGGAAUGUUUUCGUUUGGUUAUGUUACUGCUACUUCCGUUUGAGUUGGUAUUGCUUUUGUUUGGUUGGGGUCUGUCUUGUUUGACAGGCAGACCCAUUAGGUUGAAGUUCAGUAGAUGAGUUUAGGUAUGGGCCCGGUGGUCAAAUGGCCCAAGUCUUUAAGUAUUGGUAAGGUAAAAGAAGAGAUAAUAUUAAAGUGGUAAAAUACAAAAAAUAAGAGGUUAGUUUAGGAAAUUAACAUGUAGAAUCUUUUCUGAUUAACAACAUAAAUAUUCUAGAAGAGAGUAGUAGGGACUAAAAUGCAAUAAGACAAAGAAAAUUAGGUCAAAUUUGGGGCUUCUGAGAAAAUACAGAAAGAUAAGGGAUUAAAAAGAAAAAAUAUAUAUAUGAAUGAAACAAUUGUACCAAAAUCUGUUAUUAGAAAGUUGCCUUUCCCCUAUUUUUAGGGCUGACACAAUUUUGGAUUCUCUCAAAAACUCACUCUCACUCUGCAUUUUCACACACACACAUACACCACAAUACUAAUUUUCAUCUACAUUCAUCCUCACUAAUUCUCUCACAGAAAACACUUUGAAAUUCGAAAUUAGAUCUAGAAAAAUCAAAGGAAAAAAGAUUUUGAAUUUAUUUGCACUGUUUCAUUAGUUUCUGAGUUCUCGUUGGAUUUUUGGGAGUGGAUUUAAAGUUGUUUUUGCUGUUUAUGCUGCUGCGUCUGCUGUUUUUUAGCUUGGCUUCAUCUUUAGCCUUUUGCUCUUCACUGGGACUGAUUCUUUUAUUUCUUCCUGCGAUUAGCUGUUACUUCCUUCCAACUUCAGAGAUUUAUUUUCUAUUUUGUUUGGUUCUGCUAUAAUCAGGUACUACUUCUGGUUUGAAUAAUGUAAACACUACAUUUGAUUGAAUGAGGAUUAUGUGAAUCUCUCUUUGUUUCAAAUUCUGCAAGUUAUGUAGACAUUCAUCUUAUUUAAAUGUUGUAAUGUUAUUCUAGUAUGUUUUAAAAUUAUCAAUCGGACAUGAUGUUCCUCUUUUCUUCCUUGUCUAGAAAAUGGAAUUGAAUAUUCACUCACCUUAUUUACGUGGCAUGAGUUCAAAUGAUAGAAUUUUGUUGAGAAGCAUAUACGAGAAAUGGAGCUUCAAGAAUGCUCACAGGAUAUUGCUAAUCUAUUACGUGCCGAUUUAAAACUAAGGGAGAUUUUCUAUAAGUACUUAUUCCAUUUCCUAUUCUCGUUCAAGUUGUGUAAAUUUUAUCAAAAGUUGAUUAUUAUAAGUUUGGAGUUUAUGUAUUUAUUAAAUUGGUGAUAUAAAUUUAAAUAUUGAAUAAUAUGAAUUCAUGCUUAGACUAGUGUGAAUGUCUUCCUUUCCUUUCAAUUGUAUGUGAAAAUCGUUAGCUUGAAACUAUUGUAUUGCUGUUUUUAGAGGUUAUUGGGCCUGAAUAGUCAGCACAGCAAGUCUGAUAAUUAAAAUGGAGUCACGAAGGCUCUUGACCUCUAAUUCAGUACAAUUGUGGGCUCUUUCAAAUAGCCUAUGGCAUUGUUUUGAUUCUUAAAAAGUUUAGAGACAGUUUGGGCCUUUACCUGAGGCCCAUUUUCACACUCACAUGUGACGUGUUAGAGGUCCAUUUUGAGGGGCAUUUGCAUCUAUACCUAGUUUUUGGGUCAACUUUUAACUUAUA